UAUUUGAAUAUAACAGUGAGCCGUUGCGACUAGUGAGGCGCCGUGUCGUCGGCUAUCAGUUAUCUCUCCCUACAUCGCGCUUCGCCUAUACGGAGCCUGCACUUCGUCCUGGGUUUUAAAGAAAUAAAAAUGAAUCAUUCGCGGAUCUUCGCCGGCUGACGGGUCGAUCUAAUCGAUCAUCUAUCGAAUCGAUCAUCGAUCUAAUCUACAUAACUGAGAAAGUCGAUCUGCAGAUUUGAACAUCCCGCGGAACUCGAUCAGCGCAUUUGAGGAGUGAGAGCCAAGCAGCCACGUGUGGGAGGCCUAUUCGUCAUUUGGCGGCGCUCCAGGAAACAUCCCGAGCGCCGCGAAACAAAAGCGCAACACAAGCACAGCUGAGGCGGCCGACCACCGAGGCCUUGCACUCUUAUGUAACUCCGGUCGCGGGACUGCUCAACUAUUUUGGCAACUGGAGAAUAAUGUCAAAAAGAAAAGUGCAAGUUUAUUUGGUUUUAUUAUUUCAUUUUACAUUUGAAGAAAUUUUUCGGACAGGAAUAUUCAAAAUUGUUAAGGAGUAAUGAUUUAUUGGAAGCCGGCAGGCUAUUUUAACGAAAAAUUAAUUUUAUUUUUGACGGGUUUUCCUUUUUAAAUCAAGCACUUGUAUUAGGAACUUUCCCUGUACCAAACUAGUCGAUUUAUUGGCUUUUU
rnacentral:lncRNA from 1 species